UACGUAGGGUCCAAGCGUUGUUCGGAUUUACUGGGCGUAAAGGGCGCGUAGGCGGCGUGGUAAGUCACUUGUGAAAUCUCUGAGCUUAACUCAGAACGGUCAAGUGAUACUGCUGUGCUAGAGUGCGGAAGGGGCAAUCGGAAUUCUUGGUGUAGCGGUGAAAUGCGUAGAUAUCAAGAGGAACACCUGAGGUGAAGACGGGUUGCUGGGCCGACACUGACGCUGAUGCGCGAAAGCCAGGGGAGCAAACGGG
rnacentral:rRNA from 1 species